AAUCUUGCGCAAUGGGCGAAAGCCUGACGCAGCCAUGCCGCGUGAAUGAUGAAGGUCUUAGGAUUGUAAAAUUCUUUCACCGGGGACGAUAAUGACGGUACCCGGAGAAGAAGCCCCGGCUAACUUCGUGCCAGCAGCCGCGGUAAUACGAAGGGGGCUAGCGUUGCUCGGAAUUACUGGGCGUAAAGGGAGCGUAGGCGGACAUUUAAGUCAGGGGUGAAAUCCCGGGGCUCAACCUCGGAAUUGCCUUUGAUACUGGGUGUCUUGAGUAUGAGAGAGGUGUGUGGAACUCCGAGUGUAGAGGUGAAAUUCGUAGAUAUUCGGAAGAACACCAGUGGCGAAGGCGACACACUGGCUCAUUACUGACGCUGAGGCUCGAAAGCGUGGGGAGCAA
rnacentral:rRNA from 1 species